CAGAAAUUGCAUUGUGGAAAUGUUUCCUAAUGUUGGUCUACCCAUCUUACUGAGAGGAGGAAAAGAAAAGCCAAUUUACUGGCCAGCCAGACUCAGACUAUAGGUAAACAUUACACAGUUAAUGGGGAGACCAUUAAUAGGAAUCAUAUAGAUAAAGGUUAUAAAGAUAACAUAAUUUUUUAGAGUAAUUUAACCUGUUACCUAUCAACUAUAGAAUGCAAGCUCG